rnacentral:rRNA from 1 species
CUAGCAUAUCAAUAAGCGGAGGAAAAGAAAACCAACAGGGAUUGCCCCNAGUAACGGGCGAGUGAAGCGGCAACAGCUCAGAUUUGAAAUCUGGCCCCCCAGGGGGCCCGAGUUGUAAUCUGUAGAGGAUGCUUCUGGCAAGGCGCCGUCCGAGUUCCCUGGAACGGGACGCCGGAGAGGGUGAGAGCCCCGUACAGGCGGACGCCGAGCCUCUGUGAAGCUCCUUCGACGAGUCGAGUAGUUUGGGAAUGCUGCUCAAAGCGGGAGGUAAAUUUCUUCUAAAGCUAAAUAUAGGCCAGAGACCGAUAGCGCACAAGUAGAGUGAUCGAAAGAUGAAAAGCACUUUGAAAAGAGGGUUAAAAAGCACGUGAAAUUGUUGAAAGGGAAGCGCCUGUGACCAGACUCGCGCCCGGCGGAUCAUCCGGCGUUCUCGCCGGUGCACUCCGCCGGGCUCGGGCCAGCAUCGGUUCUGGUGGGGGGAUAAAGGCGGCGGGGAUGUGGCUCCCCCGGGAGUGUUAUAGCCCGCCGCUCAAUGCCCUCGCCGGGACCGAGGACCGCGCAUUUGCAAGGAUGCUGGCGUAAUGGUCACCAGCGACCCGUCUUGAAACACGGACCAAGGAGUCAAGCAUUAGGGCGAGUGUUUGGGUGUAAAACCCGCACGCGAAAUGAAAGUGAACGUAGGUGGGAGCCUCGGCGCACCAUCGACCGAUCCUGAAGUCUUCGGAUGGAUUUGAGUAAGAGCCUUACCGCUUGGACCCGAAAGAUGGUGAACUAUGCUUGUGUAGGGUGAAGCCAGAGGAAACUCUGGUGGAGGCUCGCAGCGGUUCUGACGUGCAAAUCGAUCGUCAAACAUGAGCAUGGGGGCGAAAGACUAAUCGAU